AUUGAACGCUGGCGGCAGGCCUAACACAUGCAAGUCGAGCGGAGCGGCGGACGGGUGAGUAAUGCCUAGGAAUCUGCCUGGUCGUGGGGGAUAACGUCCGGAAACGGGCGCUAAUACCGCAUACUAUCAGAUGAGCCUAGGUCGGUUUAGCGAGUGGGUGGGGUAAAGGCCUACCAAGGCGACGAUCCGUAACUGGUCGGAGUGGAUGAUAAGUAACACGGGAACUGAGACACGGUCCAGAAUCCUACGGGAGGCAGCAGUGGGGAAUAUUGGACAAUGGGCGAAAGCCUGAUCCAGCCAUGCCGCGUGUGUGAAGAAGGUCUUCGGAGUGUAAAGCACUUUAAGUUGGGAGGCGUUACCAACAGAAUAAGCACCGGCUAACUUCGUGCCAGCAGCCGCGGUAAUAC
rnacentral:rRNA from 1 species